rnacentral:lncRNA from 1 species
AAGGAUCCCAUCUUGCACGUGCUGCGGCAGUACCUGGAUCCGGCCCAGCGUGGCGUCCGCGUCCUCGAGGUGGCCUCGGGCUCCGGCCAGCACGCAGCGCACUUCGCGCGGGCCUUCCCCCUGGCCGAGUGGCAGCCGUCGGACGUGGACCAGCGCUGCCUGGACAGCAUCGCGGCCACCACGCAAGCCCAGGGCCUGACCAACGUGAAGGCCCCGCUACACCUGGACGUGACGUGGGGCUGGGAGCACUGGGGCGGGAUCCUGCCACAGUCGCUGGACCUGUUGCUCUGCAUCAACAUGGCCCAUGUCAGCCCCCUGCGCUGCACGGAGGUCUGUGGGGAGCCCAGCAUGGGUGUCUGCCGUGGCACCACUCACCCUGCAUGGGGGCAGCUGGGAUGCCAGAUUUGCCCCCAUCACAGUCGGGGAACCCAGAAUGGGGGCUUCGGGACACAGCCCUCCUGGAGGACCUGGGAAAGGCCAGUGGC